rnacentral:rRNA from 1 species
GAUGAACGCUGGCGGCGUGCCUAAUACAUGCAAGUCGAGCGAAUGGAUUAAGAGCUUGCUCUUAUGAAGUUAGCGGCGGACGGGUGAGUAACACGUGGGUAACCUGCCCAUAAGACUGGGAUAACUCCGGGAAACCGGGGCUAAUACCGGAUAACAUUUUGAACCGCAUGGUUCGAAAUUGAAAGGCGGCUUCGGCUGUCACUUAUGGAUGGACCCGCGUCGCAUUCGCCAGUUGGUGAGGUAACGGCUCCCCAAGGCCACGAUGCGUAGCCGACCUGCGAGGGUGAUCGGCCACACUGGGACUGAGACACGGCCCAGACUCCUACGGGAGGCAGCAGUAGGGAAUCUUCCGCAAUGGACGAAAGUCUGACGGAGCAACGCCGCGUGAGUGAUGAAGGCUUUCGGGUCGUAAAACUCUGUUGUUAGGGAAGAACAAGUGCUAGUUGAAUAAGCUGGCACCUUGACGGUACCUAACCAGAAAGCCACGGCUAACUACGUGCCAGCAGCCGCCGUAA